UACGAAGGGGGCUAGCGUUGCUCGGAAUCACUUGGCGUAAAGGGUGCGUAGGCGGGUCUUUAAGUCAGGGGUGAAAUCCUGGAGCUCAACUCCAGGACUGCCUUUGAUACUGAAGAUCUUGAGUUCGGGAGAGGUGAGUGGAACUGCGAGUGUAGAGGUGAAAUUCGUAGAUAUUCGCAAGAACACCAGUGGCGAAGGCGGCUCACUGGCCCGAUACUGACGCUGAGGCGCGAAAGCCAGGGGAGCGAACGGG
rnacentral:rRNA from 1 species